CCACUACUGGCCUUCAUAUCCUUUGCCUGGAGUACUGCAGGACAACACCAAAAUGGUUCAGUUACUGCAGGUCUAACUCAUGGUGAAUGGACUGCAAUCAUCUGGAGCUCUGUUUUUCUCUCAACUGUUAUAGGUGUGAUUGUAGUCGGC